rnacentral:rRNA from 1 species
GGACGAACGCUGGCGGCGUGCCUAACACAUGCAAGUCGAGCGGGGAUUUAAGUGGAAGUUCUUCGGAAUGGAGAUUUACAUUCUAGCGGCGGACGGGUGAGUAACGCGUGAACAAUCUGUCCCGGACAGGGGGAUAACACUUGGAAACAGGUGCUAAUACCGCAUAAGACCACGGCCUCGCAUGGGGCUGAGGUAAAAGGAGCAAUCCGGUUCGGGGUGAGUUCGCGUCCGAUUAGCUAGUUGGUGAGGUAACGGCCCACCAAGGCGACGAUCGGUAGCCGGCCUGAGAGGGUGAACGGCCACAUUGGAACUGAGAGACGGUCCAAACUCCUACGGGAGGCAGCAGUGGGGAAUAUUGGGCAAUGGGCGAAAGCCUGACCCAGCAACGCCGCGUGAGGGAAGAAGGUUUUCGGAUUGUAAACCUCUGUCCUAUGGGACGAAGGAAGUGACGGUACCAUAGGAGGAAGCCCCGGCUAACUACGU